UCUGCAUCGAAACGGGAGCCGGAUUCUGCUGCGACUGAGGACGGCAAUACCGACAUGCAGUAAAGAGGAUGGCACCAGUGUAAAGCAGCACUCCAUACACCAAAGACAAGCUACUUCCUGCUACAACAAGGCCAUUGUGUGGACUUUGGCUGUUACUACAAGAAUCUGCACCAAGCACACCAUGGUCCUCAUCACAGGAGCCCCCAUCUACCCUGACAGGAAGGGGCUGGAGCCGAAUUUACAAGGAUUUUACACCACAAACAAAGAAGCGGAUGCAGAAGUAUUUGGAUGAGAUAUCAAGUCUACGGAGGACUGUGUCAAGACUGAAAAGAGCCUCAGCCAUCAUUCCACCGGCACGGAUAUUGGCCGAGUCAUCCAGGUACCUCAACAAAGACUUUCUAGAAAUUCUUCAUGUUGAGAUGCACCUGCAACCAUUCAACAAGCACGGACGACGCUGGCCAAAAGAGUUCCAUCAGUUUGCCCUUCCUUAAUCAGCUUCCUGGUCAUGUCAAAUUCCAUUUAUGCCGAGUAUACAUUUUUUUUUCU